GGAAUAUUGGACAAUGGGCGCAAGCCUGAUCCAGCCAUGCCGCGUGGGUGAAGAAGGCCUUCGGGUUGUAAAGCCCUUUCGGCUGGGACGAAAAGGUCCGCGCUAACACCGCGGAUCCAUGACGGUACCAGCCGAAGAAGCACCGGCUAACUCAGUGCCAGCAGCCGCGGUAAUACGUAGGGUGCAGGCGUUAAUCGGAAUUACUGGGCGUAAAGCGUGCGCAGGCGGUCUAUUAAGACAGGUGUGAAAUCCCCGGGCUUAACCUGGGAACUGCGCUUGUAACUGAUAGGCUUGAGUGUGGCAGAGGGGGGUGGAAUUCCACGUGUAGCAGUGAAAUGCGUAGAGAUGUGGAGGAACACCGAUGGCGAAGGCAGCCCCCUGGGCUAACACUGACGCUCAUGCACGAAAGCGUGGGGAGCAAAC
rnacentral:rRNA from 1 species